rnacentral:rRNA from 1 species
AGCUCUGUAAGCGUAUACCAAAGUUGUUGCAGUUAAAACGCUCGUAGUCGGACGUUGGUGGGCGUGUCAGGUCGACCUCGCGGUUGUUCUUGGCACGAACGCCUUUGUGGAGGGGGGCUUCGUGGUGCUUCAUUGCCAUCGCGUUUAGUCGCUGCCACCGUUUACUGUGAAAAAAUUAGAGUGUUCAAAGCGGGCGUUUGCCAUGAAUACAUUAGCAUGGAAUAAUAGAAUAGGACCUGGUCCUGUUUUGUUGGUUUGUGAGUAUCAGGUAAUGAUUAAGAGGGACGGUUGGGGGCAUUUGUAUUCCGACGUUAGAGGUGAAAUUCUUGGAUCGUCGGAAGACAAACAGCUGCGAAAGCGUCUGCCAAGGACGUUUUCAUUGAUCAAGAACGAAAGUAGG